rnacentral:rRNA from 1 species
GUUUAAUCAGUCUUCUGGGAAAUCUAAUUGCUUAACUAUUAGGCUUCCAGGGGAUACUGUUAGACUUGGGACCGGGAGAGGUAAGAGGUACUGCAGGGGUAGGAGUGAAAUCUUGUAAUCCCUGUGAGACCACCAGUGGCGAAGGCGUCUUACCAGAACGGGUCCGACGGUGAGGGACGAAAGCUGGGGGCACGAACCGGAUUAGAUACCCGGGUAGUCCCAGCUGUAAACGAUGCUCGUUAGGUGUCAGGAACGGUGCGACUGUUUCUGGUGCCGAAGGGAAGCCGUGAAACGAGCCACCUGGGAAGUACGGCCGCAAGGCUGAAACUUAAAGGAAUUGGCGGGGGAGCACUACAACGGGUGGAGCCUGCGGUUUAAUUGGACUCAACGCCGGAAAACUCACCGGGGGCGACAGCAAUAUGUAGGUCAGGUUAAAGGUCUUACCUGAAUCGCUGAGAGGAGGUGCAUGGCCGUCGUCAGUUCGUACUGUGAAGCAUCCUGUUAAGUCAGGCAACGAGCAAGACCCGUGCCCACUGUUACCAGCAUAUCCUUUAUGGAUGAUGGGGACUCUGUGGGGACCGCUGCUGCUAAAGCAGAGGAAGGUGCGGGCUACGGUAGGUCAGUAUGCCCCGAAUCUCCCGGGCUACACGCGGGCUACAAUGGUUGGGACAAUGGGUAUCUACUCCGAAAGGAGUUGGCAAUCUCUUAAACCCAAUCGUAGUUCGAAUUGAGGGCUGUAACUCGCCCUCAUGAAGCUGGAAUCCGUAGUAAUCGCGUUUCAACAUAGCGCGGUG